rnacentral:rRNA from 1 species
ACGAAGGGUGCUAGCGUUGUUCGGAAUUACUGGGCGUAAAGCGCGCGUAGGCGGCUAUUCAAGUCAGAGGUGAAAUCCCAGGGCUCAACCCUGGAACUGCCUUUGAAACUGUAUAGCUGGAGUGUGUGAGGGGAUGGCGGAAUUCCUAAUGUAGAGGUGAAAUUCGUAGAUAUUAGGAGGAACACCGGUGGCGAAGGCGGCCAUCUGGCACACAACUGACGCUGAGGCGCGAAAGCGUGGGGAUCAAACAG